rnacentral:tRNA from 1 species
GCGGAUGUGGCGGAAUUGGCAGACGCGCAUGAUUCAGGUUCAUGUGAGAUUACUCUCAUAGGGGUUCAAGUCCCCUCAUCCGCA